CCACUGUACCUGGCAGAGUAGAUCCCAUGAUCAAGAAGGUAGGUUGGCCAGGUCGAGGCUUAGCUAUUGCACUUCUUUUGUGCUGAGUCCUGCAAAUUGCCCAAAUGUGGGAUUUAAUUUAAUUGGAUAAUUUCUGGUAGUGCGGGACUACAUUACUACUCUCUCU
rnacentral:snRNA from 1 species